rnacentral:rRNA from 1 species
GACGAACGCUGGCGGCGUGCUUAACACAUGCAAGUCGAACGGAAAGGCCUGCUUUCCCUUGUGGAUUGCGGGUACUCGAGUGGCGAACGGGUGAGUAACACGUGAGUUAUCUGCCCCCAACUUGGGUAUAAGCCUGGGAAACUGGGUCUAAUUCCCGAUAGGACUGCAGGGUGGUGCCUGUGGUGGAAAACGAUUUUCUAGUGGUUGGGGAUGAGCUCGCGGCCUAUCAGCUUGUUGGUGGGGUAAUGGCCUACCAAGGCGGCGACGGGUAGCCGGCUUGGGAGGGUGGACGGCCACAUUGGGACUGAGAUACGGCCCAGACUCCUACGGGAGGCAGCAGUGGGGAAUAUUGCACAAUGGGCGGAAGCCUGAUGCAGCGACGCCGCGUGGGGGAUGACGGCCUUCGGGUUGUAAACUCCUUUCGACCGCGAGGAAGCCACCUGGUUGGAAGGGUGGUGACGGUAGUGGUAGAAGAAGCACCGGCUAACUACGUG